AGGGCACAUGACGGAUGCCUUGACGUAAAGAGCCGAAGAAGGACGUAGAAGGCUGCGAAAAGCCUCGGGGAGCUGUCUAUCAAGCUUUGAUCCGGGGAUCUCCGAAUGGGGCAACCCAGCCGUGCUAAUACACGGUUACCACUAUCUGAAUCUAUAGGAUAGUAGGAGGGCACCACCCGAACUGAAACAUCUUAGUAGGGUGAGGAAGAGAGAGAAACCUCAAUUCCCCAAGUAGCGGCGAGCGAAACGGGAAGAGCCAAAACCUUUUUAACUUUCGUGUGUUCGCACACGAAUAAGCUGGCAGGCGAAUGUUAACAAGGGGUUGUGAGAUAUAAACGACCAUAAAACAGUGCUGUCUGAUUUAUCAAAAAGCAUUGUUUUAUGCGACCAGCAACUGCCAAAAGUCUGGGUAAGGUAAGAAAACAUCGAAUUAGCGGAAUGGUCUGGAACGGCCAACCAUAGAGGGUGAUAGUCCCGUAGGUUAAAAUUCUUUGUCCUUAUGUUUAUAUUCUCGAGUAGGCCGGGACACGUGAAACCCUGGUUGAAUCUAGGAGGACCACCUCCUAAGGCUAAAUACUCUUUACGAUCGAUAGCGAACUAGUACCGUGAGGGAAAGGCGAAAAGAACCCCGGAAGGGGAGUGAAAUAGAACCUGAAAUCAUGUGCCUACAAGGAGUCGGAGCAGGCUUGUCCUGUGACGGCGUGCUUUUUGUAGAACGAUCCAGCGAGUUAAUUGGUAUAGCGUUAGGUUAAGUCAUCUGACGGAGCCGUAGUGAAAGCGAGGGUUAAUAGCCCGACAUAGUUAUGCCGAUUAGACCCGAAACCGGGUGACCUAACCAUGGGCAGGUUGAAGCGUGGGUAACACCACGUGGAGGACCGAACCACCGCAUGUUGCAAAAUGCUUGGAUGACCUGUGGUUAGCGGAGAAAUUCCAAUCGAACUCGGAGAUAGCUGGUUCUCCGCGAAAUAGCUUUAGGGCUAGCGUCACGAACUACCUUUCGGGGGUAGAGCUCUGAUUGGGUCUGGGGCCCUCACGGGUACCCACCCCUGUCAAACUGCGAAUACCGAAAGAGACUACCGUGGCAGUCAGUACAUCGGGGCUAAGCUCGAUGCACAAAAGGGAAACAGCCCAGACCAUCAUCUAAGGUCCCUAAAUCUACGCUCAGUGGGAAACGAUGUGGAGACGCAUAAACAACCAGGAUGUGGGCUUAGAAGCAGCCAUGCAUUUAAAGAGUGCGUAACAGCUCACUGGUCAAUGGUGACUCUGCGCGGAAAAUGUAACGGGGCUAAGCGUAGUACCGAAGAUAUGGAUAUGGCACUUUAGUGUCGUGUGGUAGCGGAGCGUUCCUUGGGCGUUGAAGCCGAGCCGGAAGGCCAGGUGGAGCGCAGGGAAGUGAGAAUGCUGGAAUGAGUAACCAUAAGGCAGGUGAGAAUCCUGCCCACCGUAAGAACAAGGUUUCCUAGGCAACGGUUAUCGUCCUAGGGUUAGUCGGGCCUAAGCCGAGGCGAGUAGCGUAGGCGAUGGACAACGGGUUAAUAUUCCCGUACCGGCGAUGGUGUUGCGUAUAGGUGCGCGGCAUGGUAGUUCGAGCAGACUUUGGAUAUGUCUGUCUAAGUGCGUAGUCUUCGGAUGAAACACGAAUGAAAGGCGGGUAAAACCGCUGAUUCGAGUGAGCCAAGCCGACCAGAAAAGCCUGUACGUGCCAAGCCAUAGCCGCCCGUACCGCAAACCGACUCAGGUGUUCGGGUCGAGUAGACCAAGGUGUACGAGAGAACCCUCCUUAAGGAACUCGGCAAUACAGCGACCGUAACUUCGGGAUAAGGUCUGCCUAGCUUGUCUAGGCCGCAGCAAAAGAGCCCAAGCGACUGUUUAUCAAAAACACAGGUCUGUGCUAACACGAAAGUGGAUGUAUACGGACUGACGCCUGCCCGGUGCCGGAAGGUUAAGGGGAUGAGUGCAAGCUCUGAACUGAAGCCCCGGUAAACGGCGGCAGUAACUAUAACUGUCCUAAGGUAGCGAAAUUCCUUGUCGGGUAAGUUCCGACCCGCACGAAUGGCGUAACGAUUUGGGCACUGUCUCAAGGAGGGACUCGGUGAAAUUGCAAUGCCGGUAAAGAUGCCGGCUACCCGCACCAAGACGGAAAGACCCCGUGGAGCUUUACUACAACUUGGCAUUGGGCCGGGUUGCAGCAUGUGUAGUAUAGGUGGGAGACUUUGAAGUCAGGGCGCUAGCCCUGAUGGAGUCAUCAGUGAAAUACCACCCUUGCUGUAAUCUUGUCCUAACCUGGACCGCAACAAGCGGAUAAUAGGUUAUCAGAUGCUGAUUACAGAGUAGAGCAACACCGUGUCUAUAAAUACAUUUAUGUAGAUAUAGACUAGAAAAGCUUUUUCUCUGUUUUCAAUGCGCGCAUCUGUUAAACACUUAUUGUCAGUUUGUUCCGGUUCAGGAACAGUGUCUGGUGGGUAGUUUAACUGGGGCGGUUGCCUCCUAAAGAGUAACGGAGGCGUUCAAAGGUUGGCUAGAUACGGAUGGAAAUCGUAUCGAUAGUGCAAGCGCAUAAGCCAGCUUGACUGCAAGGCCUACAAGCCGAGCAGGUGCGAAAGCAGGAGCUAGUGAUCCGCUGUCACACUGCGAAUUUAUUCGCAAGAAAGUGGAAUCGGCAGCGCUCAACGGACAAAAGCUACCCCGGGGAUAACAGGCUUAUAGCGCCCAAGCGUCCACAGCGACGGCGCUGUUUGGCACCUCGAUGUCGGCUCGUCUCAUCCUGGGGGUGAAGCAGCUCCCAAGGGUAUGGCUGUUCGCCAUUUAAAGAGGUACGCGAGCUGGGUUCAGAACGUCGUGAGACAGUUCGGUCUCUAUCUGGUGUGGGCGUAGGAAACUUGCGGAGGUUUGUCCCUAGUACGAGAGGACCGGGAUGAACGAACCUCUGGUGUACCGAUUGUCGUACCAACGGCAUUGUCGGGUAGCUAAGUUCGGUUGCGAUAAGUGCUGAAUGCAUAUAAGCACGAAGCCAUCUCCAAGAUUAGGUUUCCCCAUGAGACCCCAGAAAGACUAUCUGGUUGAUAGGCACCAAGUGUAAGCGUGGUAACACGUUCAGCUGAGGUGUACUAAUCGGUCCAUCGACUUUUUU
rnacentral:rRNA from 1 species